CUGCCUACAGACAUCUGAGAUCACUUAAUCCUCAAGCUACCAAACAUAUACCAGCCAGAAGCAAUCUGAGAAACUCUCUCCAAGAUUGGAAGAACACACUUCUGAACUC